UCUGGGGAUUGCACUGGACAUCCAGGAAAUGUUCCAGAGGGGUGGUAAAUUGGCUCCCAGAGGUUUUUGGGAAGAACCAGGCUGCGGGAAUCCAUCCCCUGGGAAUGUCUGUGUUGCUGAGGGGUCAAACCCCGAUGCCAGGGGUGUUAUUUUGGGAUUUUGGUGUCCCUGAAGUGAUGACAGGGAUUGCUCUGCACAUCAGAACAUCAGCCCAUUGGCUCCCAGAGGUUUUUGGGAAGAGCCAGGCUGUGGGAAUCAAUCCCAAGGGAAUGUCUGUGGUGCUGAGGGGUCAGCCCCCGAUGCCAGGGGUGCUAUUUUGGGGUGUUUUUGGUCCCUCCCCCCCAGUGAUGACAGGGAUUGCUCUGCACAUCAGAACAUCAGCCCGUUGGCUCCCAGAGGUUUUUGGGAAGAGCCAGGCUGUGGGAAUCCAUGUCAGGGGAAGGUUUGUGGUGCUGUGGGAUCAGACCCAGAUCCUGACCAUCCCAGGGAUGAGAUUUGGGAUUUUGGUGUCCCCCCAGUGGUGACUGAGGGUUGUUCUGGAUAUCCAUGGAGAGGGUGUGCAGGGGUGGUAAAUUGGCUCCCAGAGGUUUUUGGGAAGAGCCAGGCUGUGGGAAUCAAUCCCAUGGGAAGGUUUGUGGUGCUGUGGGGUCAGACCCUGAUCCUGAUUAUCCCAGGGGUGCUAUUUUGGGAUUUUGGUGUCCCCCCCAGUGGUGACUUGGGAUUGCUCUGGACAUCCAUGGAGAGGGUGUGGAGGGUCAGAACAUCAGCCCAUUGGCUCCCAGAGGUUUUUGGGAAGAGCCAGGCUGUGGGAAUCAAUCCCCUGGGAAGGUUUGUGGUGCUGUGGGGUCAGACCCUGAUCCUGAUUAUCCCAGGGGUGCUAUUUUG